CCGCGGUGGGCUGGCGUCUUCCCCGAAGGGCCGUUGUUCCCGGCGCGCUCCUGCCAGCGUCGGGGCGGGAGCCCCCAACCUCCUCACGUUUUCCAGGUAUGACUGAAAUUCCAGUCUUAUUCAUGGGACUGUGGACUACCCAAGCCAGGAGAGUCACCACUGUUACCUGUACAACAGCUGAUGAAUAAUAGGGAAUAAAAACUAAGGAAUAAAAGCUCAGGAAGGGGGCUUCCCUGGUGGCGCAGUGGUUGAGAGUCUGCCUGCCGAUGCAGGGGACACGGGUUCGAGCCCUGGUCUGGGAGGAUCCCACAUGCCGCGGAGCAACUGGGCCCGUGAGCCACAACUACUGAGCCUGUGCGUGCGUCUGGAGCAGUGCUCCGCAACGAGAGGCCGUGACAGUGAGAGGCCUGCGCACCGUGAUGAAGAGUGGCCCCUGCUCGCUGCAACUGGAGAAAGCCCUCUCACAGAAAUGAAGACCCAA